rnacentral:rRNA from 1 species
ACGGAAUCCUUAGGGAUUUAGUGGCGGACGGGUGAGUAACGCGUGAGAAUCUGCCUUCAGGUUCGGGACAACCACUGGAAACGGUGGCUAAUACCGAAUGUGCAGCAAUGUGAAAAAUUUAUUGCCUGGAGAUGAGCUCGCGUCUGAUUAGCUAGUAGGUGUGGUAAUAGCGCACCUAGGCGACGAUCAGUAGCUGGUCUGAGAGGAUGAUCAGCCACACUGGGACUGAGACACGGCCCAGACUCCUACGGGAGGCAGCAGUGGGGAAUUUUCCGCAAUGGGCGAAAGCCUGACGGAGCAAUACCGCGUGAGGGAGGAAGGCUCUUGGGUUGUAAACCUCUUUUCUCAGGGAAGAAUAAAUGACGGUACCUGAGGAAUAAGCAUCGGCUAACUCCGUGCCAGCAGCCGCGGUAAUACGGAGGAUGCAAGCGUUAUCCGGAAUGAUUGGGCGUAAAGCGUCCGCAGGUGGCUAUGUAAGUCUGCUGUUAAAGAGUCUGGCUCAACCAGAUAAAGGCAGUGGAAACUACAUGGCUAGAGUGCGUUCGGGGCAGAGGGAAUUCCUGGUGUAGCGGUGAAAUGCGUAGAGAUCAGGAAGAACACCGGUGGCGAAAGCGCUCUGCUAGGCCGCAACUGACACUGAGGGACGAAAGCUAGGGGAGCGAAUGGGAUUAGAUACCCCAGUAGUCCUAGCCGUAAACGAUGGAUACUAGGCGUGGCUUGUAUCGAC